rnacentral:rRNA from 1 species
UAGGGAAUCUUCGGCAAUGGACGAAAGUCUGACCGAGCAACGCCGCGUGAGUGAAGAAGGUUUUCGGAUCGUAAAACUCUGUUGGUAGAGAAGAACGUUUGGUGAGAGUGGAAAGCUCAUCAAGUGACGGUAACUACCCAGAAAGGGACGGCUAACUACGUGCCAC